rnacentral:rRNA from 1 species
UACGUAGGGUGCGAGCGUUAAUCGGAAUUACUGGGCGUAAAGCGUGCGCAGGCGGUUUUGUAAGCCGGAUGUGAAAUCCCCGGGCUUAACCUGGGAAUGGCAUUCGGGACUGCAAGGCUGGAGUGCGGCAGAGGAGACUGGAAUUCCUGGUGUAGCAGUGAAAUGCGUAGAUAUCAUGAGGAAGACCAGUGGCGAAGGCGGGUCUCUGGACAGUUCCUGACACUGAGACACGAAGGCCAGGGGAGCAAACGGG